AUAAUUGAUAUCUCCUUUUUAAUAUAAGACGUUUAUAAAAGGAAAUCCUGAAUGCAACAAAUACUAGGUUAGAGGAGAUUGCGGAUUUAUCCGGUUCCCACUACUCACCAGUUAAACUGAGAGCCAAGGCACUUUGACAUAGGCUGCACUCACUCACUGUGAUUUGGAAAAUGGACAAGAACAUGAAGAGUUAUCUUUGCCUUUGUGUAAUGGAACUGAUGUUCCCUUUGACAUCAUGAAAAGAACAAGGAAUCACAUCAUUGAAUAUGACUGUUGCAAUGGAUUAACAAUCACAGCAUAAGAUGUUCCCUUUGACAUCAUGAAAAGAACAAGGAAUCACAUCAUUGAAUAUGACUGUUGCAAUGGAUUAACAAUCACAGCAUAAGGGAAUAUGCGCCGUGCUCAGCUAUCUCCAGCCAUAUAUCAGGGAGGGAAGCCAUUAUGAGUGGCUAUUUUCUGCCCUCUCUCGGCCCACUCCCGGCCCCCUCCCUGCCGGCCAUUACAAUUGAAUUCAUCUCCACGCUGGGGGACUGCAUGGGAGACGAGGAGAGGGGAUGAAGCUGGAGGAAGCCCAAAGGGCACUUUCAUGCUGCUCGCCAUCACAAAUUCCACCAAGUCAAUAUGAACACUUUUGCACACACACACUCCUCCCUAACUUCUUCCUUACUUUCUUUUUUUCUUUUUCUCGUUCUUUUUCGCUCUUUUCCUCAUCUCUCUACCUACCUUCCUCUACUCCACAAUCGCUCUGAAGAAACUCAGAGAGUGGCUCUGAAAUUAUUAAACUUUUGAUAUGUAGACCUGACAAAAUGUUUUGCUCUAUAAUUGCUGCUGGAUCACUGUUUAGUUAAGAGCCUCCUCAAAUG